GUUUCUCGUGCAGGGGAUCAGCGCGUCUCGUCAUCCUCCUGACGUUUGAAAAUGCAAAUCCAUUGCUCAAUGAGAGUGGCGUGCUGAAUGCAACAAACACUUUCUUGGACUCGCGACUCACGGCCUCGAACAGCUCGCAGAGGCUCCAGAGUUACACUUAUAAAGGUGAGUUUGCCGACACUGUACGCCACUCCUCAUGUCCCCGAUUUCGCCUUUUCCUUGGCGGCCGGCUGCAAAACGUGUACGUGGGGCAGGAAAGCAGUUUUAUGCUAUUGCUAUUUUUUGCACAAGUCUCAGGCCCGGGAGUCAGCGUGUUUCAGCGCUCACCGGAAUCUGAUUAACUGAACGUCAUGGAAACGCAUUAACGAUGCCGGGCUCUCCCUCUCUCUUCCUCCUAGCACAGCUCCGGAAAGUACGGUGUUAGCCGUGCACCUUGCACCCAGAACAGGUGUUCCACCUGUACUGCUUCAAGUAGCGUAAAGCAAGGCUCAACAUUGUAUUUCCGCUGUUCUUCUAGAGGUGUCCAACAGCUCCUUUGUGCUCAACUUUACCUUCUCGAUGGGGAACGUCACCAUCUCUCCGAAUGAUCAGGUCAUGAAUGCCACUUACAGCCAGAUCCAGGACACCAUCAAUACUCUGAUGAACAGAAUGCUGAACAGUCAACCAGCAACUCCCGUCGUCUUUCCACGGGCAAAUUUCACCGUGACGGGUGACCAGGUGGAGGCCGUCGUGAGUUACGUCGUUCGAAAGGGCGACGUCAGCAACCCGAGCCCUUACCUCUCCGAGAUGCUGAGAAUCAGCGGUCUUGAUGUUACCACGACAGCAGCAACAGCAACAGCAGCCACAACCCUUCCGACCGCAGCAGGAACGACUGGGUCUCAGACCACGUA
rnacentral:lncRNA from 1 species